rnacentral:tRNA from 4 species
GCCGCGGUCGCCUAGCCUGGGAGGGCGCCAGACUGAAGAUCUGGUAUUCCGCUGGUUCAAAUCCGGCCCGCGGCAC